rnacentral:lncRNA from 1 species
AUGGGAGCUUGGGGAGCGGGGCAAACCCCACCCUUAAAGACAACAAAACAGGUGCAGAGGCUGCGGGCGAUAGUCCUGCAGGGGAGGAGAAUGGAGGAGAAGUUUUGGUGGCGAGCGAGCAGGAACAGUGUCCAGGGUCUCUCCGCCGCCUUCCGGGCUUGCAAGCCCGCGCAGCCAGACCCUACCCAGAGGGGCGCCCCCUCGCGGGUCCCCAGCCACCACCUGCAGCUGCUGCUGUCACCUACUGUGCCACCCCCAAGUUUGAUACUCUGGGCUUUUGCACCACCCCUACCUCCCUUUCCUUCCACGAAUUUCUCCCUUUGCUCUCUCCCCCCCAGUUCCGCGAGAGAUGGCCCGGCGAAGACAGACCUCCUGGACUUAAGGCCGAGUUCACCAAAUCCGCCCCGGGGAAAGGCGAGGGCAAAGGCGGGGUGGACCGACCCAGCUGCGGCUGAGUGGCUGAGGUCCCGAGCAGGGCAGACGAGCGCAGGAGAACUCAGGAGCAGAGAUGGGGAGCUGGAUCUGCGCAGAACCCCGGAAAAGCGCCAGCAGGACUGCACCGAGAACAAAUCCUCCGCUCCCUCGCCCAGGGCUGGGGCGCAGCGCGCUGGUGCUCCUCUGGAGCUGGGCGGUCCCCGUGCUCCAAACAAGAAGGUAAAGCAAGUUCAGAUCCUGCUGCCCAUGAUCAGCAAUUUCCCUAACAGGUGUCUGCAGACAGAUUAUAAGUUGGGUAGUGCGGAUUCAGACUCGAUAGCCAGGAACCUGUGUUAUGAGCUCUGGCUCAGGGCAAAAGCUAGGAUAGACAUAGGAUAUGAAAGCUAUGGGACACGAAUAAAACACAAUCUCUCUCUCUCCUGAUAGCUGACUUCUGGAUCCUUCACUCUUUGAUCCUGACCCAAGCCACUCGUGCCACCAGGAGCGCAUGCCUCUGGAAUACUCGCUCCUGUCUCCUUGUGGUGAAGCCUUCCGCUGAUGCCCAGAGUCUCCCAGGCUGAAUUAGUGGGUAGGAGCAAAACAGGAUGGUGGAGACGAUCAGCAGAGCAGCAGCGUCUGUUUCCUCGGGAUUCCUCCCAGGAACACUAUUCGAAGCCAUUCCUUCUAAAAGUUUGCAGCCAGUCUCUCUUUCCUUUGUUCGUUUUUAGAGGAGGCAGUAGAGCUACCUACAUUUAAAAAACCAAAGCCUGAUACUGAUAACCUAAGUCUUUACUUAACCAUCCUGUUUGGAGGCUUUGCACACAUUACUUUUCCUCUAUGCAUUGGCAUUUCUGAAAUAAGGAUGGUUAUGCUGGUGUGCUUGGAAUUUCUCUGAAAUAUACCCCUAAAUGAUUAGACUAAAAAUCAGAUUCUGCUACUUUAAAAGGAAAAAAUAUAUAUUUAUCUGUUAAAAAAAAAAAAAAAAGGCAAUACAUGUUCUCCAAGAUGUUAAUUAAAGGCUUCUCUCAAAUGGAUUGGAUUUUCAAUUCCUUCAGGGUUUUUCCACACCCUAAUAGUAUUGCAACUGUAAGGCAUUUUUACAGUGUAAUCUGAUUAAUCUUCAGUUAAUAUAGAAUUAUGCCCACAGGAGUAUAGGAAUUGUUUAUAAAACAAAGCAGUCCAGGCUUUUCAAAUACCUAGAAACAAAGGUAAACAGAACUGGAAAUAUACAACGUGUUCUACACAGUUCCACUGAAAGUCUUUUUGUAGAUUUUUUUUUUUUUCCUUAAGAAAGUACUCUUUGCCCAAAUAUGUGUUCUAUGUGACGGGGUCCAUUCUUCUUAAUAUAUCUACACUGGUGAAGAAUGAACUAUAUACCAAUAAGGUAUAUUAUUGAAAGAGUAGAAAUGGAUUUAAACAACAACCACACAAACAAAUCAAAUAUCCAGCAAAACAGAUGAGUGUUGUCUUUCAGAGCAAUUGCUUUGGAAAAUUCAACUGAUUUCAGUGAUAUUGAUUGCACAAAACAUUUUUUAUCUUCUUUGAAAUUGCCUUUCAGAAGCAUAUUAGCAGCCAUAAACAACUAUUUGUCUCACUCCGUUAUAGAUGUGUAUUUGUCUUAGUAGAUUCAUAUAGUUCCACAGACAUCUAGUCAGCAACCUCGAAAGAGUAAAUGAUCUCUAUGAUUAAUGUCCUUUAAUAAAGUUUAGAAUUGGAUGAGAAACUGAUAAACUGAAAUUAAAGUCACUUUAUAGUGUAUCAUGUUAUCAAGGAUAGCUGUGGGAAUUAGCUUAUGACACUUUUGUGCAUCACAGUCUAAUUAAUAUCCUUAAAUGUGCAUGCAUAUCCUGUGUAUUGUAGUAACAACAAACCACUGUGAUGAAUGUCCAUAAACCCAAUUAUGACACUGACAGGAGAUUGGGAGUUUGUGGAAUUGGUGGUGAAAUAUCGAUUAAUCCAAAUUGAAAUAGGAUAAGAUUAUUGAUGCUUGAUUUCUUUUGUAUCAAAUCAUUUAGUUGCUCAGGAAAUUCCAUUUCUAACCAGAAUAUGUGCUGUGACUGCUCUUCAAAUAGAGAACAGACUCAAACUCACAUGCCUACAUGGUUAGGGCCAAUGACAUAAAUGGACCAGCAAGCUAGGUUGUAGGAGAGUGUGGAAAAUGGUGAUUGCUAUAACACCUUGAAGAGCACAAAAGCACAUGCUAUAGCUGAAUGGGGAGAUUGCUUCUCAGAUUACACUCAGCUGGCCUGCAAAAAUCUCGAUUCAGUAUUGUCAGAUCUGAUUUUUAAGAGAAGCAAAAUCCAUAUUGUUAAAAAUCUUCUGAAUUUUAAAUAAGCAAAAUUAAUUUUUAAAAAUUCAAAACUCCUAGUGGACAGGCCAAAAUAAAUAAGAAAUAAUAGAUAGAUAGAUAGAUAGAUAGAUAGAUAGAUAGAUAGAUAGCAGCCUGACUCAUCCUGGGCCUCCAAUAUUGUAACCUGUGAUAUUAGUAUUUGAUGUUUGACAAAUCUCCUAAAAUAUUUAAAACAUACUUCUACUACCAUUUCCCCUACCCCAUUGACCAUUUCUCAAUGCACAGAAAUACAAGAGGAAUACAACCAAAGAUUAGUUGCCAAAUAAGUAAUGUUCUUUUCCAUAUCUGGUUGAAUAGAUAUUCCCAAGGAAAUUCUACAGUAAGGGAUUUGUUGAAUAACUGAACAAUCCAAAUAUUUUAGAUAGCUGGAUGAAAUUUCAGAAAAGCUCUUCAUUACAAAAGAAAAAGUUCAAUAAUAUCAGUAUUGAGGACCACUUGUGAUACAUACUUAUUAGAUAAAGAAAAUCAUGAUGUAGAUUUCCUUCAGUGUAAUUUCAUUUUAACAGCAAAGAUGCUUCCCCCAGGGUAUAAAGAAUUUCAUUGUUAUUUUGAUUAUAAAAGUUAUUUAUAAUCAUUGUAAAAAGUGAGAAUAAACAAAAACAGCAAAGAAGAAAUAGACAUUAUCUCAAACAAUGCAGUCCCACAGAACUUUCUGCAAUAAUGGAAAUGUUCUGUACCUGUGCUGUGCAGUACAGUAGCCACUGGAUAUAUGUGACUAUUGAGCACUUCACAUGUGGCUAGUGCAACGGAAGAACUGAAAUUUUAAAUUGUAUUAAAUUGUAGUUAAUUUGAAUGUAAAACUAAAUAUAGUUUACCCUCAAACAACACAGUUUGAACUGCACAGGUCCACUUAUACUCAGAUCUUUUUCAACCAAACACAAAUGGAAAAUACAGUGUUUGCGGAUGUGAAAUGGCCUUUACAGAAGGUCCAUUUUUCAUAUAUGUGGUUCUGCAGGGCCGACUGCCAGACAUGAAUAUGCCUGGGUUUUGGCAUACGCAGGGUUUCUGAAACCAAUCGUUUCACUCCCCACCCCCCACCCCAGUAUGCAGAAUGACAACUGUAGCCACAUAGGGAGCGUAAGUGGUGGACUGUAUAAAGUCUAAACUUUCAUCAUCC